rnacentral:rRNA from 1 species
GACGAACGCUGGCGGCGUGCUUAACACAUGCAAGUCGAACGGAAAGGCCCUGCUUUUGUGGGGUGCUCGAGUGGCGAACGGGUGAGUAACACGUGUGUAACCUGCCCUUGUCUUUGGGAUAACUUCAGGAAACUGGGGCUAAUACCGGAUCGGAUCUCCUGCUGCAUGGUGGGGGUUGGAACGUUUCGGCGGUUGGGGAUGGACUCGCGGUUUAUCAGCUUGUUGGUGGGGUAGUGGCUUACCAAGGAUUUGACGGGUAGCCGGCCUGGGAGGGUGACCGGGCACAGAGGGACAGGGGUGGGGCCAAGAGGGAAAAGGGGGGCAGGAGUGGAAAAUAGAGCAAAAAGGGCGGAGGGGGGAUGGAGGAACGCCGCGUGCGAGAGGACGGCCGUCGGGAAGGAAAAGGAGUAGGCCUGUAACGAGGCGUGAGGAAGGGAAAUGGAGAAAGAGGCACGGGCAAACUAGGG